UGGGAUUACAGGUAUGAGCCACUGUGCCUGUCCUCCAGAAUAAUAAUUUUAAAAUAAUAAAUGAAGGACAAAAUAAUUUGCACUACAAAGGCUGUGGAUUUGGGUAUAGAUUUGUUACUUUUUCACCUAAAAUCAAAUAUUUUUUUUGUAAGUCAAAAGAAGAACUUUUAAAAAAUAAUGAUUUUAAACUCUUUAAAAUACUGAGAUGGGCUAGAUGUGGGUAAGAGAGAAUUUUAUUACAUUCCAACCUGGACAUUUCUAAUAAAUUUACAGUAUUGACACAGAUGCCUCAAAUCUUAUUUGGUAGACAUUUUAAGAAUAUUAAUAUAUUGUAAGGGAAGUUAAAAUAGAACUAUCAGUCUGUGUGAAAUGUUUUCUUGGUAAAAGUCAAACUCUUUGUUUUUAUUUCACAGACAAUUGUGGCUAUUAAUAAAGACCCAGAAGCUCCAAUUUUCCAAGUGGCAGAUUAUGGAAUAGUUGCAGAUUUAUUUAAGGUAGUUCCUGAAAUGACUGAGAUAUUGAAGAAAAAAUGAAUCAGGAUCAUGCCUUAAAAAGAAAACUUAUGUUAAAGUAUUCCACUGAAAUCACAGAUAUUUGUGGGUAUUAUAACAAUCAUUGGAAAGCAUGGAGAGCUACAUUUCAUAAUUUGAGGGAAAU
rnacentral:sRNA from 1 species